rnacentral:lncRNA from 1 species
CCUUUUAAUUCAGCAAUUAGUUUCUUUUUAUAGUCCCCCACAAUCCUUCUCCAAUUAGGUUUUAUUAUUAGCCCUUAAUAGACAAAUUAAGUCCAAUCAGAAGUCAAACGCGCUAAUCCGGUCAACGCCAGCCGAGGCUCAGCGCCCCGGCGCUGAGGAUAGUACAAUUUCCAGCGCCCCGACGCUGGACUUCAUUGAAAUUACCAAAUUGCCAUUCAAUGCUUGAAAUUCCCAUAAUUGCCCUUCCAGCUUCCAAAUCUGCCAAACAAGAUAUAAACACAAUAAAAAUGCUACUGAAUAACUUAAGAAUGCAAUAAUUUAAGUCUAAAUAUAUCCGAAUUAUGGGUAUACUACCCAUUCAUCAA